rnacentral:rRNA from 1 species
CCUACGGGAGGCUGCAGUGGGGAAUAUUGGACAAUGGGGGCAACCCUGAUCCAGCCAUGCCGCGUGUGUGAAGAAGGCCCUCGGGGUGUAAAGCACUUGCAGUGAGGAAGAACGCCUGGUGGUUAAUACCCAUCAGGAAAGACAUCACUCACAGAAGAAGCACCGGCUAACUCCGUGCCAGCAGCCGCGGUAAUACGGAGGGUGCGAGCGUUAAUCGGAAUUACUGGGCGUAAAGCGCGCGUAGGUGGCUUGAUAAGCCGGUUGUGAAAGCCCCGGGCUCAACCUGGGAACGGCAUCCGGAACUGUCAAGCUAGAGUGCAGGAGAGGAAGGUAGAAUUCCCGGUGUAGCGGUGAAAUGCGUAGAGAUCGGGAGGAAUACCAGUGGCGAAGGCGGCCUUCUGGACUGACACUGACACUGAGGUGCGAAAGCGUGGGUAGCAAACAGGAUUAGAUACCCUAGUAGUC